GGACAUGGGGGUGAUCUGGCUGUGAUGAUUGGUGCGGUUGAUUCGACUGAUCUGUCUGGCUAGGCAGGUGUCCCCUUCUGUCCUCACCACUUCAUGCGCAUCCCUCCCGAAGCUGCACACUUGAUCAAAGAGAAUGACCAUCACCAAUAGAGGAGGACCACUCUUCGGUCAAGGGCAUAGCAGUAGCUGCGUUCCCCUGCUAGAACCUUGAAACGCUUUCAAGGACAAGAAAACAUUUAAGGAAGUAGAAUGAAGAAUUAAGAGGGAAGUUCAGUUUUUGAAGCAACUGAGGUGAUCUUUUAA
rnacentral:snRNA from 1 species